CCUACGGGGGGCAGCAGUCGAGAAUCAUUCACAAUGGGGGAAACCCUGAUGGUGCGACGCCGCGUGGGGGAAUGAAGGUCUUCGGAUUGUAAACCCCUGUCAUGUGGGAGCAAAUUAAAAAGAUCGUACCACACGAGGAAGAGACGGCUAACUCUGUGCCAGCAGCCGCGGUAAUACAGAGGUCUCAAGCGUUGUUCGGAAUCACUGGGCGUAAAGCGUGCGUAGGCUGUUUCGUAAGUCGUGUGUGAAAGGCGCGGGCUCAACCCGCGGACGGCACAUGAUACUGCGAGACUAGAGUAAUGGAGGGGGAACCGGAAUUCUCGGUGUAGCAGUGAAAUGCGUAGAUAUCGAGAGGAACACUCGUGGCGAAGGCGGGUUCCUGGACAUUAACUGACGCUGAGGCACGAAGGCCAGGGGAGCGAAAGGGAUUAGAUACCCUAGUAGUC
rnacentral:rRNA from 1 species